rnacentral:rRNA from 1 species
AUUGAACGCUGGCGGCAGGCCUAACACAUGCAAGUCGAGCGGAUGAAGGUAGCUUGCUACCUGAUUCAGCGGCGGACGGGUGAGUAAUGCCUCGGAAUCUGCCUGGUAGUGGGGGACAACGUUUCGAACGGAACGCUAAUAACGCAUACGUCCUACGGGAGAAAGUGGGGGAUCUUCGGAUCCCACGCUAUCAGAUGAGCAUAGGUACGAUUAGCUAGUUGGUGAGGUAAAGGCUCACCAAGGCGACGAUCGUUAACUGGUCUGAGAGGAUGAUCAGUCACACUGGAACUGAGACACGGUCCAGACUCCUACGGGAGGCAGCAGUGGGGAAUAUUGGACAAUGGGCGAAAGCCUGAUCCAGCCAUGCCGCGUGUGUGAAGAAGGUCUUCGGAUUGUAAAGCACUUUAAGUUGGGAGGAAGGGCAGUAAGUUAAUACCUUGCUGUUUUGACGUUACCGACAGAAUAAGCACCGGCUAACUUCGUGCCAGCAGCCGCUGUAA